rnacentral:rRNA from 1 species
GAUGAACGCUGGCGGCGUGCCUAAUACAUGCAAGUCGAGCGAACAGACGAGGAGCUUGCUCCUCUGACGUUAGCGGCGGACGGGUGAGUAACACGUGGAUAACCUACCUAUAAGACUGGGAUAACUUCGGGAAACCGGAGCUAAUACCGGAUAAUAUAUUGAACCGCAUGGUUCAAUAGUGAAAGAUGGUUUUGCUGUCACUUAUAGAUGGAUCUGCGCCGCAUUAGCUAGUUGGUAAGGUAACGGCUUACCAAGGCAACGAUGCGUAGCCGACCUGAGAGGGUGAUCGGCCACACUGGAACUGAGACACGGUCCAGACUCCUACGGGAGGCAGCAGUAGGGAAUCUUCCGCAAUGGGCGAAAGCCUGACGGAGCAACGCCGCGUGAGUGAUGAAGGUCUUCGGAUCGUAAAACUCUGUUAUUAGGGAAGAACAAAUGUGUAAGUAACUAUGCACGUCUUGACGGUACCUAAUCAGAAAGCCACGGCUAACUACGUG